UCCCGUGUAGCUCAAUCGGCAGAGCUUCCGGCUGUUAACCGGACGGUUCCUGGUUCGAGUCCAGGCGCGGGAG
rnacentral:tRNA from 1 species